GAGGGUGCUCAGCCAUUGGAAUGGGCUGCCCAGGGACAGGGUGGAUUCUCCAUCCCUGGAGGUGUUUAAGGACAGACUGGAUGUGGCAUCAGUGCCAUGGGCUGGGAACCACAGCGGGGUUGGAUCAAAGGUUGGACUUGAUGAUCUCAGAGGUCCCUUCCAACCCAGCUGAUUCUAUGAUUCUAUGAAUUUUGGAAUUGUUCAGGUUGGAAAAGCCCUCUGAGAUCGACUCCAACCAUCCCCCAGCACUGCCAUCUUCAUCACUACCCCAUGUCCCCAAGUGCCACAUCCGUGUGGCUUUUGAAUUCCUCCAGGAAUGUUGACUUCCCCCCUGCCCUGGGCAGCCUGUUCUGUGAGAACACAGAACUCUUUUGCCCCAGCUACUGCACAUGAUGGAUGUGUCCUCAUUAAGUUAAGAACAUUUAGGCAGUUUCCUGCACACCUGGGGAUUGCCUGCCUAAAAUAGAAAUAACACUUUUCCUGUUGUUGGUGCUUUGGAGAAUUUCUCAGCACUGAAAAUUCCUCCAAGACCAACUAAACAGUCUGAAAAGUAACUGAGUUAAUUAAACACCUAAAUGAUAUCCCACUCCUGCAGAAAUACACCACUUUGGGCAUUAAAAACAAGCCUGUGAUGUUUGUUUCAGGAGGAUAGAAUUCCUUGGAUUUUUAGAGGCUUUGCAGAGCAUCAGGUGACCAGGAGAGUGCUGAUAUAUAGAAUAAAACAUGACUAAUUAUGGAGUGUAGGUUUCUUAGUGAAGUAAAAUUUCCAUCAUAUGUAAGGUGGUUCUUGCAGGCCACAUCAGGGGUGUGAUGCAUUUGGGAUGACUCAGAUUCUCAGAGUCACUGUGGGAUAUUUGACCCAUCCAACUAGGCAGGGAAGGCAUCCAGGAUUAACUGGCCGCUUGUUUCCAUCCGACUCUCCCUCCUCCCUUUGCCUCCUUCACAACCUGGCCAUAAACAGCACAUCCCUGGAGUGGGGUGUGAGUGGGCACUGGGGGCCACUUCCAUGGGACUGGGAUGGUUUGAGUUAGAAGAGACCGUAAAGACCAACUUGUUCCACCCCCUGCCAUGGGCAGGGAUCAUUCCACUAGCCCAGGUUGCUCCAACCUGGCCUUGGACACUCCCAGGGCUGGGGCAGCCACAGCUUCUCUGGGCAACUUGUGCCAGAGUCUCACCACCUUCACAGGGAAGAGUUUCUUCCCAAUAUCCCAUCUAACCCUGCCCUCUCUCAGUGUGAAGCCGUUCCCCCUUGUCCUGUCACUCCAUGCCCUUGGAAAUAGUCUCUCUCCAUCUUUCUUGUAGCUCCUUCAGGCACUGGAAGGCCCUGAAGGUCUUUAGGUCACCCCAAAGCUUCUCUUCUCCAGGCUGAACAAUCCCAAUUCUCUCCACCUUUCCUUUGCCAAAGGCUCACGAGGAAGAAUUUCUUCCUAAUACCUAAUCUAAAACUCUUACCAAAGGGUUGUUAUUCAAUUUUAAUUUUAUUUACAGGGUUAAGCCUGGUACUUGGUGCUCCACCCUAUGAGUGUAGAGGCUUUAUUACCUUUAUGACUAUAUUUGUUCAGCUCACAGCCUGAUCCCCUUUUUGCCUGAUAAACAAUGCAACGAGUGUGAAUCCAUCUGAUCAGAGACAGGAGGGGAUGUGAAGGGAGAGUGGCUGCUGAGGGCACUUGGUGUGUUCAGCUGGAGAAGAGGAGACUGAGGGGAGACCUCACUGCAGUUCCAGCUCCCUGGGGAGGGGACAGGAGGGACAGCACCCAGGGAAUGGCCUGGAGCUGUGUUAGGGCAGGGUCAGGUUGGAUCUCAGGAAAAGGUUCUUCCCCCAGAGGCUGGUUGGGCACUGCCCAGGCUCCCCAGGGCAGUGGGCACAGCACCAAGGCUGCCAGAGCUCCAGGAGGGUUUGGAUGAUCCUCUGGGGCACAGGGUGGGACUCUGGGGAUGUUCCUGUGCAGGGCUGAGGGUUGGACUGGGUGAUCCUUGUGGGUCCCUUCCAACUCUGGGAUUCCAUGACCGUUUUCUGAGCAGUCUGGUGCAUCUGCUGAGUUUGUUAUUCCCCUCAGCACGUACCAGAAAUGCAGAUGAACCCAAACCCAAAGGGAUUUAACUCUGGGACUGACGUCUGUUACUUCAGCUCUGCAAAGAGAAAUAAAGGCAGACAGCAGGGACAUGAUUUGGUUCGUGAUUAAUAGGGGGAAUCAUUACAGAAUAACCAGCCCUGUGUCACUUCCCUGGAUUUAAAUGCACACUCUCCAGUCUAAGCUGUAGUCUGCAAGUCAGGUUGACUUAAACAUUUUAUUAUUGUCAUAAAUUUAACAACUAAUAACUAGUAGGAAGCGAGUCAGAAACUGCUCCCGGGGAGGAAAAAAACCCUCUGAGAAUUUCCUUUGAAUACUCUUAGAUUCUGAUUUUUAAAAAAAUACAUUACAAUUGAUUCUGGUCAUCUGUCCAGAGGUAAUAAAAUCUAAAGCCAAAGACAUGAGACAAAUUUUGGGGAUUUUUGGCAAUACUCUCAAAUUGAUCUGAGCCACAUCUCCAGUCACCAGGAGUGUGUCAAACAACCUGAUGUUGUUCUGUUUGAUGAAAAUCCUGCUUGAUUACAAUGAGGACAGUGGAUAUAUCCUGGGGAAUAAGGCUCCUCAUAAGAUCCUACUGCAGAAUUAAGGGUGUUCACCACACCUUGGUAGAGGGUUUUAGAUCCUGCUUGAUGCUGCAGAUGUUACAGUGAGAUUAAUUCAUCCAUUUGUCUUAAGGAAUAAGCAGGGAUCCAUCAUGUUUCACUGACAAAAUUGCCAUCUAAGGUAAAAUAAUAACAUUGAUUACUGGGGAUGGAGAAGAACGAAGGAAAAAAAUUGAUUUUUAAACAUCCCCCGUGCGAUUUGGAGAGAUUAAAGUUAGAUAAUUCAUAAUAAACAUAGAAAUGGGGAGAAGAAAUAAGAACCCUCUUUAGACCAAUUACCCAGGCUCCAUUUUCAGCCUGUAAUAAAUUCCAGAUGACUCCUUAGCAAAAAUAUAGUUUAUGGAGCUAUAAUAUAGGAGCAAGUGGAGAGGCUGGAUAAAAACCCUUCCUACGUUUCAGCUGGGCUGGGAGGCUGAAUAAAAUGGUGCAGCUCAUUCUGGGUGUAUUUCCAUUUAAAAAAUAUCUGUGCCCCGAGGAGGGUUUGACUCGAUGUGUUGCUGUGGUUAUCACACAAAAUGUCUGACAGGAAUAUUCCUGUAGCUCUGCCUAAUUGCUGGGGCUACCUUUUGAUGGAAAUCUGAGCUCAAACUACUCGGAAUAUAUCCAUAGAAAAUACCUUCUUGGGUAAAAAAUAAAAACCAACUAAAUACGGAAACCUAAAUACAGCUUUGGGAAAUUAGACUUGUUUUUUUUUCAACUUUCUUUAUUUUUAUAUUUGUUUCCUCCAAAUUAUGAAAGACUGGGGAUGAAAGCCAUGCUCUAAUUUCAUUCAGGCUGCAAAAUACACCCAUUUGUGAGGCAAACUCUCCAUCUCUGUGAAGAGCAGGUUGGUUUUCAGCAGCAGCUUGUUCCUGCCAUCAGCAAAAUUGUUGUCAAAACAUUUGAGGAGAUCAUGGCAGAGCUGAAAGGAGAAGAGAGCAUACACUAUUAGUAACUGAUCCAUAAACAUCCCCUGCAAAUGACAACUGUACGUUGAAAAUUUUCAUUUUGGAGAGUGAAAAACAAAUCCAGUCAUGGUGAGGGCUCCAGAAAAGUCGUGACCCUUCUUCACAUUGAGCUGGUGGUGGCAGCAGCAUGAGAGAUGUGCUGUGGGUGAUGGUUCUCCCAGUGACUCACUCCUGGCCUCGAGCAGAGCACUUAAUGUGUCCGGGGCUCACCUCAAAAAAGGGCCAGUGUUGCUUUUCUCAGGGUAAUUCUCCUGAAUUAGGAUCUGAGAGAUGCUUCCAGUUCCUAAAAUAAAAGAUGCCUCCAACAAUUCAGCAUUUGCCAGGGAAAAUCAGAAUUCCUACAGCUGAUGCAAAAGGAGUUUGAGAUCCUGCAGUGUCCUUCUGUUCCAUGCAGAGAAACCCUGAGUUUCUUAAAAAAUGGAAGGGGGAGUUGAUUAUACUUUUUUGGAGUUAAUGCUGCAAUCAAAGGAGGAUGACAGUGAAUUUGUUAUAUUAGAGACACAUUAGACCUCUGAUAUUCACUGCAGCACCACCUUUGGGAGCCCGGGAUAAAUGAGGACUUUUUAGUGGCAAAUCUUUGGGUGUUGUGAAGGUUUCUGGUCACAGAAGUGCUGCUUUUCCAGGGAUUUCCUUUCAGUGAGCACAGCUGAACAAAGUGCCUCUCCAACUGCAGCCCCUGAGACUUCUCAUCCUCUCUGGAGGUGACUCCAGUGAAGAUCUCCCAGUGUUUCAUGGGAAUUCUGAGGCAGGGAGAGGCAGGGAACUGGCACUGGGGUGGCAGGAGGGAUGGUGGGGGCUGCUGACAAGUGCCAAGGAGAGGCUUUGCUGUGCAGAGCCAUUAAUCCUCCUGCUCCUGCUUGAGUGCCUUUGGCAGAAUACAAGGCUGGGAAGGAUUCAGAUAAAUCAAGGAGCUGGUUGUCUCCUCCUCAGUGCUUCCACAGGGAUGUGGAAUGGGUGAAGCUCCUGCCUCUGCUGUCCCCUAAGGUGGCCAAGCAGUGGCUUCCCAAAUCAGUGAGGUGCAGUUUGUACCAGUGCCCAACCAACACCUAGAACCUGCAUCUCCACUUUCUGCUUUUUGAUUGUUUCUGAUUUAUUUUCCUGGGGUUUUGUGUUUGUUUUGAUUCGUGCACCUGCUGGGGAAGGUGAGAAGCAAUCGUGGUACAAACAGCUUUCCAUCAGGGAGUGAGGUUGGUGCAGUUUUGCAAGUUUUAUUGUCUCAACUAGAUUCUGAAAGCACCAGAAGCAGCUCCCCUCUCAGCUUUCCUCCCUAAAAAAAUAAUAGGGAAAAAAACAGGAUCAUUUUUUUCUCUGACCAACCUCCAGCAUCAGUUAAAGAAAACUGUUAAAAACUGUUAAAAACAGAACAAAAGGAGAAAAAUAAAACCCUGGUAUUGCUAAGUGAGUGGAAAACAGAUCUGUAGAAUCUAGAAUGGUUUGGGUUGGAAGGGACCUGAAAGACCAUCUCAUUC